rnacentral:misc_RNA from 1 species
GAUGAAGAACGCAGCGAAAUGCGAUACGUAAUGUGAAUUGCAGAAUUCAGUGAAUCAUCGAGUCUUUGAACGCACAUUGCGCCCCCUGGUAUUCCGGGGGGCAUGCCUGUCCGAGCGUCAUUGCUGCCCUCAAGCACGGCUUGUGUGUUGGGCCUCCGUCCUCCUCCCGGGGGACGGGCCCGAAAGGCAGCGGCGGCACCGCGUCCGGUCCUCGAGCGUAUGGGGCUUCGUCACCCGCUCUUGUAGGCCCGGCCGGCGCUUGCCGACACAUCAAUCUUUUUUCCAGGUUGACCUCGGAUCAGGUAGGGAUACCCGCUGAACUUAAGCAUAUCAAUAACCGGAGGA